CAGAGAUGCUUGGCACUUUUUGCC
rnacentral:siRNA from 1 species